CCCCGCCUAGGCAGCCAGUGGACACCUGCAUCUGCCUGCAAGACGGGAAGCAGGUCAGCGCAUGGACAGUUUCCCAGAAAGCGACAAAGACUGUGAAGUUUGACGGUCUGGAAAACGGAGACCAACCGCGCUGACUACCUGGGAGCACCGAGACUCAGGACAGCGCCGCUCGGGGUCCAGGAAGGGAGCCACAAUCUGCUUCAGCACCAGGGCUCCGGACAGCUCCUAGGGGGUUCCCGGAGCCGACUUCAUUUCAGAACCAGGACACUGGACAGCUUCCCUGGUACCGGGAAGCCCCUGUCCCCUGACGGGGGAACAGAGGGUGGUCUGAAGUGUCUGACGUUUCUGGAGACUUGACCCUCAUUUAAUGGAUCUUUCAACGAAUUGUUUUCCAGAUAAGCAGCCUACCAUCAGUUCCAUGGACCAAUUACAGAACACGUGUAAACUUGCGUCUAGUAGGUGGGCUGUGGCAUCAUCGAGGCUCACCUCCAAUUCUCUGUGACACCCUAAUCAAGUCACAGACACGACAUUGGGCUCAGCCCAGCCUACGAACAGCCUUUGCCUUUGUUGUUCCCUCAGCUUGGAAUGGAUGCCGCCACCCCGAGUGCCCCAUGGCACAUUCUGCCUCCUCAUCCAAGUCUCAUUUCAUUGAGGGAAACUUUCUUUGUUGCCUCACCUUUCCCCACGUCAAGUCUACAUUAGACAUUCUCAUAGACCCGGGAUAUCUUCCACCUGGCACUUAGUCUAAUUAUUUUUGUGUUACUAUUUACAGAACUGUCUCCCCCAUGAUACUGUGAGCUCCAUGAGGGCAGAGACUGUGUUUGUAUUUUCACUGCUGAGUCCCCGGCACCCAAUCCAGGGCCUGGUACACAGCAGGUGCUCAAUAAAUAUUUGUUGACUCAAUAAAGGCAUAAGGGAAUAAACCAAUACAUCAAUCAAUAAAUGAAUUGAUGGUUUCGGCGCACGAAGAUCCUACUUCUCCUCGGUCUCCCCCACAGAGAUACCACAGGGCGAUGGUUGAUGCAGGUGUUUAUUGGGAAGUAUAAUUAAAUUUGUGGACACUCAAGGGCCGGCCAACCAACUAAUGCCCCAGGAGACAGCCAGACUCGUUUAAUUAGCAAUUAUGAGGCAUUGAUUCCUCAUUAGCUCUGGCAACCCCUGUCUCCCUCCUCAGCCCCAGACAAACGAAAUCUUUCUCUCUCCCGGGAGUACUGUCUCAGUGGGUCCAUUAACAAGCAGAGAAGAUAUGAUUACAAGACACCUAAAUGCCAGAGGCUCUUCAUGAAUGAGGAGCGGAGAGAGAGUUCCACAUCUGGGUUAAGGCUAACUGUGAGAGACUUUCUGGUAUAUUUAGAAUUGUUCUCUGGGAAUGGGAGCGCUUUCAGAUACGAAAAGGCACCCAGAUACUGCCCUUUAGGGACACCAAUGAAAGAGGAGGUUCUGCCCUGGUAUUUUUUUUUUAAAUCUUAUUUAUUUAUUUAUUU